rnacentral:rRNA from 1 species
GACGAACGCUGGCGGCGUGCUUAACACAUGCAAGUCGAACGGAAAGGCCCUGCUUGCAGGGUACUCGAGUGGCGAACGGGUGAGUAACACGUGGGUGAUCUGCCCUGCACUUCGGGAUAAGCCUGGGAAACUGGGUCUAAUACCGGAUAGGAGCCAUUUUUAGUGUGAUGGUUGGAAAGUUUUUUCGGUGUAGGAUGAGCUCGCGGCCUAUCAGCUUGUUGGUGGGGUAAUGGCCUACCAAGGCGGCGACGGGUAGCCGGCCUGAGAGGGUGGACGGCCACAUUGGGACUGAGAUACGGCCCAGACUCCUACGGGAUGCAGCCGUGGGGAAUAUUGCACAAUGGGCGCAAGCCUGAUGCAGCGACGCCGCGUGGGGGAUGACGGCCUUCGGGUUGUAAACUCCUUUCGCUAGGGACGAAGCUUUUUGUGACGGUACCUAGAUAAGAAGCACCGGCUAACUACGUG